ACAGACGCCCUCCAGCGACCUACACGCAGAGGCGGGGCCAAAUCCAAAGCUGAGCCCCUGUGAGCUGUGAGAACAGAGAAAGGGAAAUCUCUCCCAGCAGCCUCAGGAGCCGCGGAUUAAAUCUCCACAAUCAACUUGAUGUACCUGCAUCUGUGGAAUACAUGAAUAGACAACGAAUCAUCCCAAAUUGAGGAGGUGGACUUCGAGAGCAAGAUUUAUGAUUUUUUCCCCUUUUCCUCUUUUUGAGAACCUUCGUACCAGAACCACACAAUGAAGAACUUGGAGUCCCCGUGGCUAAUCCAGCAGAGAGAAAAGGAGAAACAGAGAUGCGAGAGAAAAUAAAUGGAACUCUUGGUGCUGCUGCAGGCCCAAGUCCAGACUCGCAGGCUCUCUGGACCUCUGAGGAGGAUAAGCACUACACAGAACCUCUGCUACAGAACCAAACAUAUUGAAAUGACUCUUUACGAAGAUACUGAAACAACAGACAAAGAAUACAUGACGAUUGUUUCUCCUGAGGGUUCAGUUACCUAGGGGGCCUUUAGCAAACUUUGAUUGAUAAAUCUAACCUUUCCUUCCUUGGCAAUAGUUGAUCACACUGUGAGGAAAACAAGUUAGAGAAUGGAAAAAUAAUAUUUGGAUUUCAACGAAAUAAUAAAGAUGCAGGGACUAUCUUUGACUUUUGCAAGGUGAGAAGAGUUUUUACAUUUUGAUUAUUUGAUGGCAGGAAUCCCUUUUAAAACAGGGCCAGUCUGCAUGAUGCAUUUAAAAAUCAACCUUUUCAAAUAUAGCCAUAACCCCCACGAGAUUUCUUGAUUUCUCUGGGGUCAGAUAAACCAUCACAUUUCACAGUGGUGCCCUGUACAUGAAAGUGAUAAACAUAAUCUGGAAGCACGGCAGUGGCUAAAAAUAUGGAGCUGGUAGCCAUUCGUUGAAAUGAUUUUUUGCUUUUAAUUCAUUGCAUAAAAUGCUAAUGUCCAAAUUCAGGCAGGUAGAUCUUACCAACCAUCAAGAGCUUCAACCCUGCUAACAGCUAAGUAUGCACUUUUAAACCCAACUUUGACUGUUCCAGAAACUUACUGGGUUUCUUUAAUGCCUCUGUUACUAUUUCCUUUGUGUCAUUUUGUUUUUCUUUAAACACAUAGCUGUGUGAUCUUGGGGAAGUUAUAUUAUUUCCUUGAGACUUGGUUGCCUUCUCUGUGAACAUCUGGGUAUAAUUUUAGUAUUGCUCAAUAGAAUUUUUGGUGAUAAUGAAAAUAUUCUAUAUCUGUACCAUGCAUUGCAGUAUUCAAUAGCUACAUGGAGCUAAUAAACAUCUUUGAAAUAUGGCAAAUGCAACUGAGGAACUGAUUUUUUAAUCUUAUUUUUAAAUUUCUUUAAAUAUAAAUAAUGCCACGUGGCUAGCAUCUGUUGACAGUACAGAUCUACGUAAUAUUUUAAGUACACUCUCCACUCAAAAACUCUACCA